UUAACAUUUAUAAUUUAUAUACCUAUCUAUAUAGUAUGUGCAUAAUUUUUAAAAUAAAACAAUUUACAAUAAGCAUAAUUGAUUAGAUAAUUCCGCGAAAGACGACACGGAAGACUGGUAAAAGAAGUCACCUAGCGGCUAGCAGUCCAGUAGUGACAACAUUGUUUUGGGCAAAAUUGUUAUUAUGUCAUUAAUUUUAGGUUAUGAUUUUAAAAAUAUAUUUUCAAGCAUACGUUACCUAUACAAUUCUUCUAACAUUUUCAAAAAUGUUGAUAUUUUUCAUGACAACGAGAGUACCAUUUUAAGUUAAACAAAUUGUCUGCUAAACAUGAUAUUUCAAUAAAAUCAUAACCCAUAAGACCGUUCGUGUACUUCGUCUUGAAAGUUGUAGGUACCUGUAGUACAUAUAGGUACAUCACAUUGUAUGUACAUCGUAAGAGUACAAAAUAAUAAAUAUUUAUCCGGCUCGUGCGUGUAAUAUAAUAUAUAUAUAUAGAUAUAAAAAAAUCUAUGGAGUUGGCCGAGGAGGAGAUAAAAAAAUAAAAAAAAUCGGUAAUAGAUACCUAUUAUUCGUACCUAUAUCUACGACGAAACGGGAAAACUGACCACGACGACGACGUUGCCGCGUUGACCUCGUGACCGUGUUGUGCACAUUAAACGCACCCGGAUAUACGCGUGCACCCUCGGCUGUAAAUAAUAUAGGUAUAUACCGCGAUAUAUACCUAGGUAUAUAUAAUGAUAUAUACCAAUGUAACCGUGUAACAUGUCCGUCUGCAGAUCUCAUACGAGAGCUGCUGUAUAACGUAUACAUAUACGUUUAUAUGUAUAUAAUUGCAUCGAACGAGCGUGUAUAAUGUGUACAGUAUUGUGUGGGUACACGACGAUGAUUAUAAUAUUAUCGUUUAUGCGCUGCGCUUUGCUCAUAAUUAUUUAUUAUUAUUAUUAGGUGCAUACCUAUUAUGACGAUAUAUUAUUACGCGUGCGGUGUUCGUUGUAGAGCGAUAAAAAAAAAAUGUAAAAAAAGAACCGACAAAUGUGCGCAUAUUAUUAUUAUGGAGACGCUGUAAGCUGUCUGCGCUCGCUCGCAUAUACCUUUACAAAUUUGAAUGUGGGUAACGCAUAUUAAAGCAUUAUACGGGCAUACGGCAGCCGUAUAUAACUUCUUAGUAAAUUAUCAUAAUACAUAUUAUAGAGGUAAAAUUAUGAGAUUACGAACAAUUUAAAUAAGUUAUCUUCAAGACUGAUUCAACAAGUUUGAUACUAUAAGAUGCGAAGUAUUGUUUUUCGCUGUACAGUGUACACUUAUAUACGAUUUUGAAUGAAUCCAAAAGAAAGCUAUUAAUAACAAUAUGUGUAAGAAAACGAAUAAACGACUGUAAAAAUGUUAAUACUGAAUGGGAAGCGCUUUGAUCAUUACACUCGAAUAUACAUCUAUUCUGUGGAAAACAAAGCAUACAAGCAUGUAUAUGUUCAACGUCAUGUAGUACUAUCAAUAAUUAUCAAGCUGUGAUCAUUGAAAUAUUCCAAUAUUUAAACAGUGAAAUCUCUCCGGGCGAGGACUACGGCGCGGUGGUGCCCUGGCGUGAGGUGCCUAUCGUCGUGCGGGCGAGGCGGAGGAGUGGGCGUCCUCGUGAGACACGUUUUCGCUGGCUCGCGCCGAGAGACGAUUACGAUCGCGUGUGUGCACAACGCAUUGGAUACAUUAUAUAGGUAGGUAUAAUAACAAUACGAUACAUACGCGACGAACCGCCGUCCGCCGUCCACCGCCAUCGCGUCCGUCGUCAUCGUCGUCGUGACUGUCGAUCGCGCGACGGCGGCGGCGGCGAUGUCCUCUCUCUUUCUCAUUAGCACACAUAUCGCGCGCAGUGGCCGCGGGGCAGAGGGCCUCGAUACGUUUUCGCGAUUUCGGUAGCGGACGGCCCCCGCGCUGGACGCCCGCCCCCACCCGGCGCGUUAUGUAGGCGCCUCCGGCCCUCCGCGCGCCGUCCACGAUCAUAUUAUAUUAUUAUUAUUAUUAUACGGGUAUAUAUGUGCUAUAUAUAUAUAUAUAAUAAUAAUAUGCGUUCACUCGCUCUCCUCAUCUUCGUCGUCGCCGUCCCACUCUUUAUCGCCGCCGCCGCCGCCGCCGUUAACGGAGCCGAGAAGAUUUUUUUUUUUUAUUAUUAUUAUUUUCGUGGUCCGCGUCCACCGCUCUUACACACAUUACACGCGCGUCAGCUAACGCACAAACACGCGCGCGCGCACCGCUCACCAGCCAACCACUAUAGAUCGCUCGAUCGCUCGCCGCCGCCCUCCAGAUCGUCGUCGUCGUCGUAUAAGACCGCGGUACUCGCGCGCGACAUGCCAAUACGGCCGACCGCCUGCACUGCUGCCGUCGUCGACCACCAUCGCAUGUUCCGUUGUCGCUGAGUCGAUACAAAUAUUAAAUCAUAAAUAAUAUUUAAUUUAUUAUCAAAUAUAUAAGAGGUCUGAGUGUCACCGGAUCGAAUAAAAAUAAAAGACGAAAAUUUUCGUUACAUAUUUAUAAUUUAAAAAAUACGACAAACGAAACGACCGAGGUACACCAUCGUUAAACUGUACUGCAGUAAUACCGGCCCGGGUCACGCGUGUAUACAACUGGGUCACGUUCACGACAAAAAAUCGUCUGCACACAAUAACAUCGUUUUGCAUCCGCGCGCGUUUCCCGUCACGUAACGCCCGAAAACGUUAAUUGUAAUCGUUCGCGGUGGUAUAUUUUCCGUUUUUAGACGCGAGCGCGCGCGCAUCACAACACCGCUGUGUUAUAUAGAACUAUAGAAGCAGCCACCAUCAUCACGCGAUUCGGAUCUGGUUCAUCACCGAUGAAAACGGUUUGACGUCACCCGAUCCAAUAACUCGUCCAUACAACGCUUUCACGGUCGUACAAAU